rnacentral:rRNA from 1 species
AUUGAACGCUGGCGGCAGGCCUAACACAUGCAAGUCGAACGAGUGGCGGACGGGUGAGUAAUUUCUGGGAAACUGCCUGAUGGAGGGGGAUAACUACUGGAAACGGUAGCUAAUACCGCAUACCAUCAGCUGUGCCCAGGUGGGAUUAGCUUGUUGGUGGGGUAACGGCUCACCAAGGCGACGAUCCCUAGCUGGUCUGAGAGGAUGACCAGCCACAUUGGACCUGAGACACGGUCAAGACUCUUACGGGAGGAAGAAUGGGGGAAGAUUGCAAAAUGGGCGCAAGCCUGAUGCGGCAAUGCCGGGUGUAUGAGGAGGGCCUUCGGGUUGAAAAGUACUUUCAGAGGGGAGGCGUUACCCGAAGAAGAAGCACCGGCUAACUCCGUGCCAGCCGCCGCGGUAAUAC